GCUCUGGUGGCUCAACGAGGGUUAAGCACCCAGCUGCUAACUGGGAGGUCGGCGGUUUGAACCCACCCCGCCGUU
rnacentral:tRNA from 1 species